rnacentral:rRNA from 1 species
AACGAACGCUGGCGGCAUGCCUAACACAUGCAAGUCGAACGGGAUCCUAGCUUGCUAGGUGAGAGUGGCGGACGGGUGAGUAACACGUGGGAAUCUGCCUUUUGGUUCGGGAUAACCGCGGGAAACUGCGGCUAAUACCGAAUGCCCUCGAGAGAGGAAAGAUUUAUCGCCAGAAGAGGAGCCCGCGUCCGAUUAGGUAGUUGGUGGGGUAAAGGCCUACCAAGCCGACGAUCGGUAGCUGGUCUGAGAGGAUGAUCAGCCACACUGGGACUGAGAUACGGCCCAGACUCCUACGGGAGGCAGCAGUGGGGAAUAUUGGACAAUGGGGGCAACCCUGAUCCAGCAAUGCCGCGUGAGUGAUGAAGGCCUUAGGUUGUAAAGCUCUUUGCCAGGGAAGAUGAUGACUGUACCUGGAGAAUAAGCCCCGGCUAACUUCGUGCCAGCAGCCGCGGUAAU